rnacentral:rRNA from 1 species
UACGUAGGGGGCUAGCGUUGUCCGGAAUCAUUGGGCGUAAAGAGCGUGUAGGCGGCCCGGUAAGUCCGCUGUGAAAGUCGGGGGCUCAACCCUCGAAAGCCGGUGGAAACUGUCGGGCUAGAGUGCGGAAGAGGCGAGUGGAAUUCCUGGUGUAGCGGUGAAAUGCGCAGAUAUCAGGAGGAACACCAAUUGCGAAGGCAGCUCGCUGGGACGUUACUGACGCUGAGACGCGAAAGCGUGGGGAGCAAACAGG